rnacentral:lncRNA from 10 species
UCUGAGCUCAAGCAGUGCUCCUGCCUCAGCCUCUGAGAGUGCUGGGACUGCAGGCAUGAACCACCACGCCUGGCCUGGCCUUCUAUUUUUACUUCAAACACCCCAGAGUCAUUCCUGCAUCAAGGCCUUUGCCUUUGCUGUUCCCUGUGCCUGGAACGCACUUUCUCUGUGUGUUCAUAUGGUUUGUUCCCUCGUUUAAUUUUCUCUCUAUGUGUUACCUCCUCAAAGCAGCUCUCUCUUUGUAUCAACCUGUUCUCUUCCACCUGUCACUCUCUAAC